rnacentral:rRNA from 1 species
UACGGGGGGGGCAAGCGUUGUUCGGAAUUACUGGGCGUAAAGGGCUCGUAGGUGGCCAACUAAGUCGGACGUGAAAUCCCUCGGCUUAACCGGGGAACUGCGUCCGAUACUGGUUGGCUUGAGUUUGGGAGAGGGAUGCGGAAUUCCAGGUGUAGCGGUGAAAUGCGUAGAUAUCUGGAGGAACACCGAUGGCGAAGGCAGGUCUCUGGGCAUUAACUGACGCUGAGGAGCGAAAGCAUGGGGAGCGAACAGG